AAAAUCCGUCGACUUUUAAAAUCGUGAAGG
rnacentral:tRNA from 2 species